rnacentral:lncRNA from 10 species
CUGGGAGUCACCUCUGUCUUCCUGGCAUCCGCACAAUCAGUAGGACCCAGCAAUCUCCCGCAGGACAUUUUCUAAAGUGAAGGCCCAGAGAGAAGGUCCUCCUAGAAAGCAGAAGGCUUUCCCCCACCUUCCACCAUGCCCACUGUCACGAGGAUUUGCUGGGGCAAGUGUUUACUCAUCUGGUAGGGGAAUCCACUCCUUUCUGCACAGGUGCAGAGCUUGCCAAAUGCCGCGGGGCUUCCCUCUUUGCUAAAAGGCCAGAAUUCCCUAAAUCUCACUCCAGGCUCCAACAUUAUAUCUAUCACUUUUCUUUUUUUUUUUUUCCAAUAUAGGGGAAAAGGGACCUUUCCUUUCACCCUCUGACAUUUGAUAAUUUGAGUCUAUGCAAUAAAUUUGACAGUAGACAGAUUAACAGGAAAAAAGGCAUACAAAUUAAUACAUGCAUAUACAAGGGGGUCCCACAGAGUAAAACACUCAAAGAAGGGCCAGAUGGUUGAAACUUUUUUUCUUCUUGAGAUGGAGUCUUGCUCUGUCACCCAGGCUGGGGUGCAGUGGCAUGAUCUCAGCUCACUGCAACCUUCAUCUCCCAGGUUCAAGCAAUACUCCUGCCUCAGCCUCCUGAGUAGCUGGGAUUACAGGUGCAGGCUACCACACACAGCUAAUUUUUGUAUUUUUAGUAGAGAUGGGGUUUCACUAUGUUGGCCAGGCUGGUCUUGAACACCUGACCUCAGGCGAUCCACCCUCCUCGGCCUCCCAAAGUGCUGGAAUUACAGACGUGAGCCACUGCACCCAGCCUGGUUGAAACUUAAAUCUGCAUUUGAACUACAGAAAGAAAUAGGGGCUGGGGCUUUUGGAAGGGAGGUGGUGACUCAAGCAAUGGAAGGGUAAGGGGUGACUCAAGCAAUGGAAGGGUAAGGGGAAGAACCACACUGUGAAAAACGGUUGUUUUGUGAUGCAGAUAAAGUCUCUAGGAUAGCAACCUUCAGAAGAAUAGGUAAAAAGUCCAUCUCGGUUUGGAGACUUUUAGUUUCUUUUCCUGCUGGUUAAUCUCUGGUUAAUGUGGAUUUCAGGGAGAGGGAUCCACACAAUUAUGUUCCUUCUGGAAGAACUUCCCUCCCUGCAUUUCAGGAGAUACAGAGAUGGAGAGACAGGGAGAUGAGGGAAGAUCAAAGAGACCUUGGUUCUGAAGCUGAUUUUUUCUUUUUUUUUUUUUGAGACGGAGUCUUGCUCUGUCGCCCAGGCUGGAGUGCAGUAGUGCGGUCUCGGCUCACUGAAACCUCCACCUCCUGGGUUCACGCCAUUCUCCUGCCUCAGCCUCCUGAGUAGCUGAACUACAGGCACCUGC